rnacentral:lncRNA from 1 species
AUGCUCUUUUGGGGGGCCGGGGGGCCCCACCUCCCGCACCGGCAGGGCUGUGCCACCACGGCCACGCAGCUCGUGCGGUGGAAAGGCCAAGGUCACCCUUGGGGGGGGGGGGGUGGCUUUGUUGUCCCCAGAGAAAGGCUGGAGCAUCCCCAAAGACCCCACGGGGUUCGCCACGCGGCGUGUCCCCAAAACCCUGGGUGCCACUCUGCGGGGUGGCCGGGGACCGGCUCUGCGCCACGUGGGGAGACCUCGACGCGCCUUCCCCGCUCCGAAGGUCACCGCGAUGGCCGGGACGUGGCCCCCCCCACGCCGGCUGCCUGCGCUGCGGGUUGGCCCGCAGCUCCCGGGUGGUCGUGGGGUGCGUGGCUGGGGCUCGCCAGGCUUGUCACGGCACUGUCCCCACGGUGGUGGCACCUCGGCCUCUGCCUCGGCACCCCCUCGCUGUCCCCUGCGUGGAUCCCGUGUGUCCCGGGAGUGUCCCCACGCUGCGUCCCACGGCCCCAGCGUCCCCUCUCUCCUAAAUAUCCCCCUGCGUGUCCCCGCGUCCCUUGUGACCCCUGUGUGUCCCGCACGCCCCGCGUCUCCCACAUCCCAGGCGUACCCUCUAGGUGUCCCCACGUCUUCCCCCCCCCCCGUGUCCCCUCCGUCCCCCCCCCCCACGCCUCCCCCGCGCGUCCCCGCAUCCCACGUGUACCCCACCGGCUCCCCGCCUCCGUCCAUCCCCACCUCCCACGCGUGUCUCCCACCCUCCCCGCCUCCGCCACCAACGCCUCCCGCUCCCCCCCCCCCCCCCCCCCCCCCCGUCCCCCCCCCCCCCCCCCCCCCCCCCCCCCCCGGGCCCGUGUCCCCCCCCCCCCCCCCAGCCCCGUCCCGCGCGGGCCCUUUAAGGGCGGGGGCGUGUCGCAGCGCCCGGCCCGGCCCGGCCCGUUAAAGGCCCGGCGAGGGGCACGCGCCGCACUUAGACCGGGGGGGGGGGGGCGGCGGCGGCGGCGGCGGGGCCGGUAG